CUGCUGCCUUCCGUAGGAGUCUGGGCCGUGUCUCAGUCCCAAUGUGGCCGUUCAACCUCUCAGUCCGGCUACCGAUCGUCGCCAUGGUGGGCCUCUACCCCCGCCAUCUAGCUAAUCGGCCGCGAGCCCAUCUUUCAGCGGAUUGCUCCCUUUUGAUUAGAAGAGGAUGCCCUCCCCCUAACUGUCAUGCGGUAUUAGCAGUCGUUUCCAACUGUUAUCCCCCUCUGAAAGGCAGGUUGCUCACGUGUUACU
rnacentral:rRNA from 1 species